rnacentral:rRNA from 1 species
UACGUAGGGUGCGAGCGUUGUCCGGAAUUAUUGGGCGUAAAGGGCUCGUAGGCGGUUUGUCGCGUCGGGAGUGAAAACACUGGGCUUAACCGAGUGCUUGCUUUCGAUACGGGCAGACUAGAGGCAUUCAGGGGAGAACGGAAUUCCUAGUGUAGCGGUGAAAUGCGCAGAUAUUAGGAGGAACACCGGUGGCGAAGGCGGUUCUCUGGGAAUGUCCUGACGCUGAGGAGCGAAAGUGUGGGGAGCGAACAGG